rfam:Hordeum vulgare subsp. vulgare, WGS project CAJW01000000 data, contig: morex_contig_1562473
AUCAUACUCCCUCCGCCCGGAAAUACUUGACAUAGGAAUGGAUGCAUCUAGAUGUAUGUCAGUUCUAGAUACAUCCAUUUUUAUGAAUUUGUGCAACAAGUAAUUCCGGACGGAGGGAGUACUUU